rnacentral:rRNA from 1 species
AGUGAACGCUGGCGGCGUGCCUAAUACAUGCAAGUCGAACGGAGUGGCGCACGGGUGAGUAAUAUAUAUCUAAUCUGCCCCUUGCUGGAGGACAACAGUUAGAAAUGACUGCUAAAACUCCAUAGCAAGGGAUGGGUCUAUAUCGGAUCAGCUAGUCGGUGGGGGAACGGCCGACCGAGGGUAUGACGCGUAACUGGUCUGAGAGGAUGAUCAGUCAACUUGGACGGGAGACACGGGCGGAGCACAUACGGGAAGCAGCAGUAGGGUGUAUUACGCAAUGGGCGAGACCCUGACGGGGCAUCGCGGUGUGAAGGAUGACACGUUUCGGAGCGUGUACUCCUUUUGUUAGGGAAGCGGUACCUAACGAAGAAGCACCGGCUAACUCCGUGCCAGCAGCCGCGGUAAUUC